UACGGAGGGAGCUAGCGUUGUUCGGAAUUACUGGGCGUAAAGCGCGCGUAGGCGGCUUUGUAAGUUAGAGGUGAAAGCCCGGAGCUCAACUCCGGAACUGCCUUUAAAACUGCAUCGCUUGAAUCCAGGAGAGGUGAGUGGAAUUCCGAGUGUAGAGGUGAAAUGCGCAGAUAUCGGGAAGAACACCCGUGGCGAAGGCGGCUCUCUGGGACGGUACUGACGCUGAGACGCGAAAGCGUGGGGAGCGAACAGG
rnacentral:rRNA from 1 species